CGGCGAAGCCGCGAGGUGGAGCGAAUCCCCAAAAAAGACCGGUCUAAGUUCGGAUUGCAGGCUGCAACCCGCCUGCAUGAAGUCGGAAUCGCUAGUAAUCGCGAGUCAGCAUAUCGCGGUGAAUACGUUCCCGGGUCUUGUACACACCGCCCGUCACACCAUGGGAGUUGGCAACACCCGAAGCCGAUGAGCUAACCCGCAAGGGAGGCAGUUGUCUAAGGUGGGGUUGAUAACUGGGGUGAAGUCGUAACAAGGUAGC
rnacentral:rRNA from 1 species